GACAGAGGGUGCAAACGUUGUUCGGAAUUACUGGGCGUAAAGGGCUCGUAGGCGGCCAACUAAGUCAGACGUGAAAUCCCUCGGCUUAACCGGGGAACUGCGUCUGAUACUGGAUGGCUUGAGUUCGGGAGAGGGAUGCGGAAUUCCAGGUGUAGCGGUGAAAUGCGUAGAUAUCUGGAGGAACACCGGUGGCGAAGGCGGCAUCCUGGACCGACACUGACGCUGAGGAGCGAAAGCCAGGGGAGCAAACGGG
rnacentral:rRNA from 1 species